rnacentral:rRNA from 1 species
GUGAACGCUGGCGGUAGGCCUAACACAUGCCAGUCGAACGGCAGCACAGUAAGAGCUUGCUCUUACGGGUGGCGAGUGGCGGACGGGUGGGGAAUACAUCGGAAUCUACUUUUUCGUGGGGGAUAACGUAGGGAAACUUACGCUAAUACCGCAUACGACCUACGGGUGAAAGCAGGGGAUCUUCGGACCUUGCGCGAUUGAAUGAGCCGAUGUCGGAUUAGCUAGUUGGCGGGGUAAAGGCCCACCAAGGCGACGAUCCGUAGCUGGUCUGAGAGGAUGAUCAGCCACACUGGAACUGAGACACGGUCCAGACUCCUACGGGAGGCAGCAGUGGGGAAUAUUGGACAAUGGGCGCAAGCCUGAUCCAGCCAUACCGCGUGGGUGAAGAAGGCCUUCGGGUUGUAAAGCCCUUUUGUUGGGAAAGAAAAGCAGCAGGUUAAUACCCCGCUGUUCUGACGGUACCCAAAGAAUAAGCACCGGCUAACUUCGUG